rnacentral:rRNA from 1 species
GACGAACGCUGGCGGCAGGCCUAACACAUGCAAGUCGAACGAGUGGCGGACGGGUGAGUAAUGUCGGGGAAACUGCCUGAUGGAGGGGGAUAACUACUGGAAACGGUAGAUAAUACCGCAUACCAUCAGAUGUGCCCAGAUGGGAUUAGCUUGUUGGUGGGGUAACGGCUCACCAAGGCGACGAUCCCUAGCUGGUCUGAGAGGAUGACCAGCCACACUGGACCUGUGCCACGUUCCAGCCUCCUCCGGGAUGCAGCAGUGGGGAAUAUUGCACAAUGGGCGCAAUCCUGAUGCACCCAUGCCGCUUGUAUGAAGAAGGCCUUCGGGUUGUAAAGUACUUUCAGCGGGGAGGCGUUACCCGCAGAAGAAGCACCGGCUAACUCCGUGCCAGCAGCCGCGGUAAUUC